AAAGGAAUUGACGGGACCCGCACAAGCGGUGGAUGAUGUGGUUUAAUUCGAUGCAACGCGAAAAACCUUACCCACCUUUGACAUGGCAGGAAUCCCGAAGAGAUUUGGGAGUGCUCGAAAGAGAACCUGCACACAGGUGCUGCAUGGCUGUCGUCAGCUCGUGUCGUGAGAUGUUGGGUUAAGUCCCGCAACGAGCGCAACCCUUGCCAUUAGUUGCUACGAAAGGGCACUCUAAUGGGACUGCCGGUGACAAACCGGAGGAAGGUGGGGAUGACGUCAAGUCCUCAUGGCCCUUAUAGGUGGGGCUACACACGUCAUACAAUGGCCGGUACAGAGGGUAGCCAACCCGCGAGGGGGAGCCAAUCCCACAAAGCCGGUCGUAGUCCGGAUCGCAGUCUGCAACUCGACUGCGUGAAGUCGGAAUCGCUAGUAAUCGCGGAUCAGCAUGUCGCGGUGAAUACGUUCCCGGGUCUU
rnacentral:rRNA from 1 species